AUGUCUGGUUGGAGAUCCUUCCCUUGUGGAGUCUUUCCUGGGAGCCUCUCUCUUCAGAGGCUUUUCUGCUGUCCAACAGAAAUUGAAAACUUCUCUUUAAAAUGAAAGGAACCCAGCUUUUAAAGAAUUUAUUUAAGACUGAAACUAACUUUGGAGGUGCAGAUAACAGAUUUUAUUUGGUAGUAACUGGAAAACCCUCUGUGAGUCGAGGGUGAUGAGGUACUGCCUCAGCAAUGGAAAUGCAAAGGAUCCCACAUCUUCUGGUUUGACUGCCACACUGAACCAGAAGUGGAGUUGGACCUAGUCUGUACUAAGUGAGCCCUCAAGCAGUUUCCUGCCUUGUUCUUGCGACUAAUGAACUUCAAUGAACUGCAUGUCUUUUCUUGUGUCUCUCCAGCCUUAAACCCAAGCCUACCGAAAUAGCAGUUACUAGAUCAGUUUUAGCAUACAUUGCCUCCAGUACUGUCAUGAUGCAUUUCUUUAUAACCUGCAUCAAUAUUCCCUAUUCCUUUAAGUUUAGUAGCUUAUUUCUCCUAAGGACCUUUUACUAUUCAGUGAAAAUGGGAAAUGUGUGAUCUGAUGCUAUUUCUGCCAUGGAGGCUAUGCUACCUUUGCCAAUCAGUCUGAAACCAUGAAAGGCUGCUGUAAGGUUAAGCGUCUCCUGAAUUAUGGUCUCAUGGUAAUGAAAUGUUCACUUUCUUCCUUAUUUCUUUAUGUCACUUUCCCAAGUCAGUCUUCAGUGUGUAAAUGCAAGUCAGCCACAUACAGUAAGGAGAGAACAAAGGUCGUGGAGCUGUUUGAGCGAUUUCUCAUAUGUUCUGGGGAAAAAGAAGAUUAUUGAGGCUUGUAGAUUUUUCUUCCUCUAAUAUCUAGAAGACGCUCUAGUAGCAGCUGCAUGAGACCACAGAAAUGGUCUUGUUUGGAAACCUGAGGUUGUAGCACGACAUAAAAACCAAGACAACAUAAAAAUCAAGAAGCAAAAAAGACAAGAAAUAACUGGUGGCAGGUGCACAAACUUGCCAAGCAUAGACUGUCUUUUUGUACCCUUUGGAGAAAAGCUGUUCAUUCCUCCUGAGUUUAAUGCAUUAAAAGAAGAUGAAAGUCCUCCCACCAGACUCCAUUGAGCUUAGUGCUGGGUCCAGGCAGUAGCUCAGCAGAUGGGUGAGUGCACAUGCUUUGGGAGUAAUGCAUAUAGAAGUACAUUUGUUUAAUCGAAUCCUAGCUAAUUGGCUCAAAUCUGAAUGUAAUGCUUGGGCUGCUAAUAAGGCCAUGUGUCAGGCAGAGCACUGGAAGGCUGUAUCACCCUCUUCCACCCUGCAGUGGCUGUGGUGCGUGUAGUCUCUGCUGUCCCACUCAGUAAGGAAUAUUACAGCUCUUCAGCCUUGAUAUUAGAAAAAAAAAUAGGUCCUUCAUCUGCGACAGACAAGAGUUUGUUGCCAACCCAAGUAUAACAACAAACAACUUGGAUGCUCCGAUACAUAAACCUAAAAACCGUGUCUCUUGAACACAGAUUUAGCUGUACCUAUGCUAUUAUCAACUGACAGCUUCUGGGUUUUGAGAGGAAAUGGAGAUGUUUAAUGUUCUUUUGUCUAGACCUGUUCAGUUCUUGCCUUCUACACUCGAGCUGUCCUUUUAAUACAGCUUUCUCAGUC
ensembl:lncRNA